rnacentral:rRNA from 1 species
AGGGUUUGAUCCUGGCUCAGAACGAACGCUGGCGGCGCGCCUAAUACAUGCAAGUCGAGCGAGAAGGUGUAGCAAUACACUGGUACAGCGGCGAACGGGUGAGGAAUACAUGGGUAACCUACCCUCGAGUGGGGAAUAACUAGCCGAAAGGUUAGCUAAUACCGCAUACGAUUCCCGAAUUGCGGUUCGGGAAAGAAAGCCAUACCGUGGGUAUGGCGCUCCUGGAUGGGCUCAUGUCCUAUCAGCUUGUUGGUGAGGUAACGGCUCACCAAGGCUUCGACGGGUAGCUGGUCUGAGAGGACGAUCAGCCACACUGGCACUGCGACACGGGCCAGACUUCUACGGGAGGCAGCAGUAAGGAAUAUUGCGCAAUGGGCGACAGCCUGACGCAGCGACGCCGCGUGGGGGAUGAAGGUCUUCGGAUUGUAAACCCCUUUCGGGAGGGAAGAGGGAAUGGGGUAACCCAUUCGGACGGUACCUCCAGAAGCAGCCACGGCUAACUUCGUGCCAGCAGCCGCGGUAAUACGAAGGUGGCAAGCGUUGUUCGGAUUCACUGGGCGUACAGGGAGCGUAGGCGGUUGGGUAAGCCCUCCGUGAAAUCUCCGGGCCUAACCCGGAAAGUGCAGAGGGGACUGCUCGGCUUGAGGACGGGAGAGGAGCGCGGAAUUCCCGGUGUAGCGGUGAAAUGCGUAGAGAUCGGGAGGAAGGCCGGUGGCGAAGGCGGCGCUCUGGAACGUUUCUGACGCUGAGGCUCGAAAGCGUGGGGAGCAAACAGGAUUAGAUACCCUGGUAGUCCACGCCUUAAACUAUGGAUACUAAGUGUCGGCGGGUUACCGCCGGUGCCGCAGCUAACGCAUUAAGUAUCCCGCCUGGGAAGUACGGCCGCAAGGUUGAAACUCAAGGAAUUGACGGGGCCCGCACAAGCGGUG